CCCUGAUCUGGCCUGUCCACGGUCGUCAUUAGUUUCCAUCUACGAAACUGACAUGACAUCAUAAAGUAAGCAUAUUAAAUAUAUAAUUCCGCAUUUCACAAGACAAACAAAUUGGGACAUUGGGAUAAUAGCAUGAAAAUAUUGGCUGAACUCUAAUUAGAAAUUCUUCCAGGGUUUUGCUGGACUUGGUCGGGCAGCAACAUUAGUAGACGAUCUACAUAUCGCAAGCAAAUGUAUUUGAAGUGGCUUUCGACACAUGUCCGUACUUUAAUAGCAAAAAUUUGAGUAUAUGAAUUUGCAUUCGUUAGGUGGCGUACGUACUUGUGUGAUGCGUUACAAAAAUAACAAGGAAACCAAAGAAGAAAUUUACACAUAGCGCUAUAAUUUGUUGCACAAGAAACGCUAAAGAAAAUGAAAAGUUCGGUAAUUUCGAGUAAAAGCAAUAAAUUUAGAACUUCAAUACCAGUCACGUCAAUAAGUGCAUUAGUUAAACGAAUGAUUGUCGAAUAUAACCAAUACAAAUACAAUUACAUGUAAUCUGUAGAUUGACCACUCAUGUUGUGUUUUCUAACCAAGACCAAGAAAUCCCUGGAAGAAAUAUUACUAAUAGUUCAUGUACGCGUAUCGCAUAAUUUGAUGCUAUUGUGGCGAUAUGUUUGUCUAUUUGCCGAAUUCCACUUACACAACAUAUCCCAAAAUAGCAUCAAAAUAUCCUUACGCGUACUGAACUAUUAGUAAUAUAGGAAGCGCAUAUUUAUAUUAGCUUUCUGACGUCACCUCAAUUUCGUAUAUGGAAACUAAUAACGACCGUGGGCAGGCCAGACCAGGGCACAGAAUAUAUACUAUACAGAAGGACCACACUCUUGAGUUAACUUGUCGCUAAUUUUUUAUGCGCAUGCUCCAAUUCCGCCAUCUUCCUGGCCAGUCAAUAGCUGGCAGCGGUAUAUAAAACUAUAUGGUAAGAUGCGAAGUGGAGACUGGAAAACGUCGAUUUUUUUCAAUUGAGGCUGUUCAAUCUGAUGCGUAAUUUAUAAAAUAGCAAAAGCAAGGAUAUUUUUCUGUGUUAUUUAAGAAGAAAACAUCCAGGAAUAUCUGCCAAUUUAAAGCUGCACUGUUUAUACGAUACCAUUAAGACCAAUAUAUUACUAUAAAUUCUAUAUAGUUAUAGUUUUAUUGAACAUGUAAUUAACAUUUUAUCAGUGGUUAGGUAGAUAAAUAUACGAUAUAUUAAUCUUGUAAA